rnacentral:rRNA from 1 species
UACAGAGGUCUCAAGCGUUGUUCGGAUUCAUUGGGCGUAAAGGGUGCGUAGGCGGCGCGGUAAGUCGGGUGUGAAAUCUGGGCUUAACUCCGAAACUGCAUUCGAUACUGCCGUGCUUGAGGACUGGAGAGGAGACUGGAAUUUACGGUGUAGCGGUGAAAUGCGUAGAUAUCGUAAGGAAGACCAGUGGCGAAGGCGGGUCUCUGGACAGUUCCUGACGCUGAGGCACGAAGGCCAGGGGAGCAAACGGG